rnacentral:rRNA from 1 species
UACGUAGGGUGCGAGCGUUAAUCGGAAUUACUGGGCGUAAAGCGUGCGCAGGCGGUUCGUUGUGUCGGUGGUGAAAUCCCCGGGCUUAACCUGGGAAUGGCCAUGGAAACUGGCGAACUGGAGUGUGGCAGAGGGGGGUGGAAUUCCGCGUGUAGCAGUGAAAUGCGUAGAGAUGCGGAGGAACACCGAUGGCGAAGGCAGCCCCCUGGGCUAACACUGACGCUCAGACACGACAGCAUGGGGAGCGAACGGG